rnacentral:other from 1 species
CUGUACUUAGAUGGAUAGUGAUAGCUGUUUCAGCUAUUUUGAAUUUUAAGUAUGAUGUUGUGUUUGCAUAUUGGUCUAGGCAACUAGACUGGAGUAACGAAAGUUACUCGUUUCACUUCCUGUAUAUUUUGAACCAUUUGGUUUAAUACCGCCCAUUUGGGCGGUUUUUUUCAUU